UACGAAGUGUGCGAACGUUAUUCGGAAUCACUGGGCUUACAGGGUGCGUAGGCGGCUCAACAAGUCUGGUGUGAAAGCCCCCGGCUCAACCGGGGAACUGCGCUUGAAACUGUUAGGCUCGAGUCAGCUAGAGGUACACGGAACUUCCAGUGGAGCGGUGAAAUGUGUUGAUAUUGGAAGGAACACCGGAGGCGAAAGCGGUGUACUGGGGCUGGUCUGACGCUGAGGCACGAAAGCCAGGGGAGCGAACGGG
rnacentral:rRNA from 1 species